AUAUUUUCAUGAAUUUUAGUAAAAAUUGUAGAAAUAAAAAUAUUACACUAUAAAUUGGUUGGGGAGGGAUUCGAUCCCUAGACCUUCAAUAUGAAUUGGCAACCUUCCAACCAACUAAGCCACAAGAUAAAAACGCAACACAUUCGAGUUAGCUUAUAUAAGUUCAAACUUUAUCUAUCAUCAACUCAAAAAAUAUUUGCUUCCGGCGGAUCCAGCUAGGGCGGC
rnacentral:lncRNA from 1 species